GACGAACGCUGGCGGCGUGCUUAACACAUGCAAGUCGAACGGUAAGGCUCCAGCUUGCUGGGGUACACGAGUGGCGAACGGGUGAGUAACACGUGGGUGACCUGCCCUGCACUUCGGGAUAAGCCUGGGAAACUGGGUCUAAUACCGGAUAGGACCGCACCGUGAGGGUGUGGUGGAAAGUUUUUUCGGUGUGGGAUGGGCCCGCGGCCUAUCAGCUUGUUGGUGGGGUAAUGGCCUACCAAGGCGGCGACGGGUAGCCGGCCUGAGAGGGUGGACGGCCACAUUGGGACUGAGACACGGCCCAGACUCCUACGGGAGGCAGCAGUGGGGAAUAUUGCACAAUGGGCGGAAGCCUGAUGCAGCGACGCCGCGUGGGGGAUGACGGCCUUCGGGUUGUAAACUCCUUUCACCAUCGACGAAGGGUCUCUGACGGUAGAUGGAGAAGAAGCACCGGCUAACUACGUGCCAGCAGCCGCGGUAAUACGUAGGGUGCGAGCGUUGUCCGGAAUUACUGGGCGUAAAGAGCUCGUAGGUGGUUUGUCGCGUCGUCUGUGAAAUUCCGGGGCUUAACUCCGGGCGUGCAGGCGAUACGGGCAUAACUUGAGUACUGUAGGGGAGACUGGAAUUCCUGGUGUAGCGGUGAAAUGCGCAGAUAUCAGGAGGAACACCGGUGGCGAAGGCGGGUCUCUGGGCAGUAACUGACGCUGAGGAGCGAAAGCAUGGGGAGCGAACAGGAUUAGAUACCCUGGUAGUCCAUGCCGUAAACGGUGGGCGCUAGGUGUGGGUUUCCUUCCACGGGAUCCGUGCCGUAGCUAACGUAUUAAGCGCCCCGCCUGGGGAGUACGGCCGCAAGGCUAAAACUCAAAGGAAUUGACGGGGGCCCGCACAAGCGGCGGAGCAUGUGGAUUAAUUCGAUGCAGCGCGAAGAACCUUACCUGGGCUUGACAUAUACGGGAUCGCGCCAGAGAUGGUGUUUCCCUUGUGGCUUGUAUACAGGUGGUGCAUGGUUGUCGUCAGCUCGUGUCGUGAGAUGUUGGGUUAAGUCCCGCAACGAGCGCAACCCUUGUCUUAUGUUGCCAGCACGUUGUGGUGGGGACUCGUAAGAAACUGCCGGGGUUAACUCGGAGGAAGGUGGGGAUGACGUCAAAUCAUCAUGCCCCUUAUGUCCAGGGCUUCACACAUGCUACAAUGGUCGGUACAGUGGGUUGCCAGUCCGCGAGGGCGAGCUAAUCCCGCAAAGCCGGUCUCAGUUCGGAUCGGGGUCUGCAACUCGACCCCGUGAAGUCGGAGUCGCUAGUAAUCGCAGAUCAGCAACGCUGCGGUGAAUACGUUCCCGGGCCU
rnacentral:rRNA from 1 species